GAUGAACGCUGGCGGCGUGCCUAAUACAUGCAAGUCGAGCGAACGGACGAGAAGCUUGCUUCUCUGAUGUUAGCGGCGGACGGGUGAGUAACACGUGGAUAACCUACCUAUAAGACUGGGAUAACUUCGGGAAACCGUAGCUAAUACCGGAUAAUAUUUUGAACCGCAUGGUUCAAAAGUGAAAGACGGUCUUGCUGUCACUUAUAGAUGGAUCCGCGCUGCAUUAGCUAGUUGGUAAGGUAACGGCUUACCAAGGCAACGAUGCAUAGCCGACCUGAGAGAGUGAUCGGCCACACUGGAACUUAGACACGGUCCCGACUCCUACGGGAGGCAGCAGUAGGGAAUCUUCCGCAAUGGGCGAAAGCCUGACGGAGCAACGCCGCGUGGGUGAUGAAGGUCUUCGGAUCGUAAAACUCUGUUAUUAGGGAAGAACAUAUGUGUAAGUAACUGUGCACAUCUUGACGGUACCUAAUCAGAAAGCCACGGCUAACUACGUG
rnacentral:rRNA from 1 species